rnacentral:rRNA from 1 species
AAAACACUAACGAACGCUGGCGGCAGGCUUAACACAUGCAAGUCGAGCGCCCCGCAAGGGGAGCGGCAGACGGGUGAGUAACGCGUGGGAACGUACCUUUUGCUACGGAAUAACUCAGGGAAACUUGUGCUAAUACCGUAUGUGCCCUUCGGGGGAAAGAUUUAUCGGCAAAGGAUCGGCCCGCGUUGGAUUAGCUAGUUGGUGAGGUAAAGGCUCACCAAGGCGACGAUCCAUAGCUGGUCUGAGAGGAUGAUCAGCCACACUGGGACUGAGACACGGCCCAG